rnacentral:rRNA from 1 species
GAUGAACGCUGGCGGCGUGCCUAAUACAUGCAAGUCGAGCGAAGCGGGGACGGGUGAGUAACACGUGGAUAACCUCCUAUAAGACUGGGAUAAAUUCGGGAAACCGGAGAUCAAACGGAUACUUAUAGCUGGAUCGGCGCUGCAUUAGCUAUUUGGUAAGGGCACGGCUUACCAAGGCAAAGAUGCAUAGGCGACCUGAGAGGAGGAUCGGCCACACUGGAACUGAGACACGGUCCAGACUCCUACGUGAGGCAGCAGUAGGGAAUCGUCCGCAAUGGGCGAAAGCCUGACGGAGCAACGCCGCGUGAGUGAUGAAGGUCUUCGGAUCGUAAAACUCUGUUAUUAGGGAAGCGGUACCUAAUCAGAAAGCCACGGCUAACUACGUGCCAGCAGCCGCGGUAAUAC